GUUAAAGCCUCUAAGAGAUCCAUUGGGAAUUAGGUUUCGUCUUCCUCUUGCGCCUGCGAUCUGAACGAUGAAAUUUCCAGAGACUUCAAGCGCAGUUUCGAUCUUCGUAACAUUUCAACCAUCGAUAAAUCUAUUCUUUAAUGGCGACAAUAAAAUCUCCCCACUUUAUGCUCUUAUUUAAGUUUCUGUUGAUUAUGAAUCAACUAUAGACACUAUACAUCUAGAUCGUCCAUAACCCAAUGCUACAUCUCAUGGUCAUGGCUUCUUCAAAAUCUUAGAUUACUCAAUAUCUCAAAUAUACGAUUCCAAAUUGGAGAUAUCUCAAAUCCUCCUUUCAGAGUUGCCCGCAAUGGGAACUAUCCAAAUUGACAGUGUGUUUUGCGUCACAAGUCGACUCGAUGAAAAAAUUAUUGAUAACGGGUGUAAAGCCAAAAGUCAUCAUUGCAAGUUUGCAACCUGCACUAAUCCUAAAUUAGUUGGAGGUUGUCUAUUAUCCAGUGUAAUCUCCAGAACACACUCCUACUUUGAUAUGAAAGCCUGGUCAGCCAGAGUUACCUUAACAAGUAAGAGGCUUCAAACUGGAGAUUUUGGAAUAAUUUCCAUCUCCACUACUCACCGGAGGUCUUGUGGAAGUGGCGUAAGUUGCUCCUAAAAUUCUUCCAAAUAUGGAGGUGUUCAGAUAAUAGAGUCAAUCACACUGGCUGCAUUCUCCACCACAAGUUCGUUUUCUUACAUCUUACAUUGCAUUAACUCUCAGCUGUGUUUUGAAUGUCACUUGCUCUACUCUAAUCAAUAUGCAAAUAUAACACCACAGAACGUGGAGUCCCUCUGCACUCCCAAGUUGGUGGCAUUGAGACUAUAACAGAUGGUGCUACAUAUCAUGUUCUAAUUGCUCACGAAAACUACAAUGCAGAUUCACAUAUGCAGGGUGCCGUUACGAGAAUGCUGUUGGGUUGUUUACCUGAAUUACCAUCAGUGUGAAACCUCUCAUGAGGUGGACAGAAGAAGUGCAGAGAACACAACAGGUUGCCCUGAAGCUACAAUUGAUGAAGGAAGCACAAUGGACUCAACACAACUACCUUGUCAAACGGAGACAGUGGUAAGCAUUGACAGCAAAGCAAGUGAUGUCACGCGGAAACAACAACAAUGCAGCAAGAGUAUUAGCUAAUCAUCAUCAUCAUCAAGUGAAAUAAGGGUUUGGGCAUGCUUAGUGUUAGGGUGACAUGCAAGUCGUGUAACUUCAGUCUCUGUUUAUGAUGGUUUUAUAUUUGUCUAUUUCUAUUAACGAAAAGAAAAAUAACUUUUUAUUAUCAUGGUCUGCAAGUUAGGUACUCCUACUCCCGUUUAGCCUUAGACUUUGUUUAACAUCAAAUAAAACUCACAUACUUAUUAA